UCCUACGGGAGGCAGCAGUGGGGGAUAUUGCACAAUGGAGGAAACUCUGAUGCAGCGACGCCGCGUGGGGGAAGAAGGUCUUCGGAUUGUAAACCUCAGUAGUCAGGGAAGAAGCAAGUGACGGUACCUGAAGAGUAAGCUCCGGCUAACUACGUGCCAGCAGCCGCGGUAAUACGUAGGGAGCGAGCGUUGUCCGGAAUUACUGGGUGUAAAGGGUGCGUAGGCGGGUCAGCAAGUCAGGCGUGAAAUACCGGGGCUCAACUCCGGGGCUGCGCUUGAAACUGUUGGUCUUGAGUGAAGUAGAGGCAGGCGGAAUUCCUAGUGUAGCGGUGAAAUGCGUAGAUAUUAGGAGGAACACCAGUGGCGAAGGCGGCCUGCUGGGCUUUAACUGACGCUGAUGCACGAAAGCAUGGGGAGCAAACAGGAUUAGAUACCCUGGUAGUCCAUGCCGUAAACGAUGAUAGCUAGGUGUGGGGGGUUAUAUGCCGUCCGUGCCGGAGUUAACACAAUAAGCUAUCCACCUGGGGAGUACGGCCGCAAGGCUAAAACUCAAAGGAAUUGACGGGGGCCCGCACAAGCAGUGGAGUAUGUGGUUUAAUUCGAUGCAACGCGAAGAACCUUACCAGGUCUUGACAUCCGACUAACGGAGCAGAAAUGCACCGGUGCCCGCAAGGGAAAGUCGAGACAGGUGGUGCAUGGUUGUCGUCAGCUCGUGUCGUGAGAUGUUGGGUUAAGUCCCGCAACGAGCGCAACCCUUGUCAUUAGUUGCUACGGACAGAGCACUCUAAUGAGACUGCCGUUGACAAAACGGAGGAAGGUGGGGAUGACGUCAAAUCAUCAUGCCCCUUAUGAUCUGGGCUACACACGUACUACAAUGGCCGUUACAGAGGGCAGCGAAGCCGCGAGGCGGAGCAAAUCCCGAAAGGCGGUCCCAGUUCAGAUUGCAGGCUGCAACUCGCCUGCAUGAAGGCGGAAUUGCUAGUAAUCGCGAAUCAGCAUGUCGCGGUGAAUACGUUCCCGGGCCUUGUACACACCGCCCGUCACACCAUGGGAGCCGGUAAUACCCGAAGUCAGUAGCCUAACCGCAAGGAGGGCGCUGCCGAAGGUAGGAUUGGCGACUGGGGUGAAGUCGUAACAAGGUAGCCA
rnacentral:rRNA from 1 species